AAGGGGACGGGGCCCCGACUCCGCCGCUACUUCCGAGGCCCUCUGGGAAUCGUAGUUUUCUGGGAUCAUUUUGCACCGGCACUCUGCGGUCUUUGCGCCUUAUGGGGUCGCUGCAAGCAGGUUGGAGCCCCAGCCUGCUACCCUCCCUCCUGCAUACUGACUUCAUCUUGUAACAGGCUUUGUGAUAAAAACCUGGGAGAAUAUUGGUUCUGGAAUUCCUUGUGGACAAGUCUGGGGAGACCAUUGGUCCUGGCUCCACUCCUGGAAGGGUCUUUCAGAUUUUCAGAAGAAAACUCCUGGCAGACAAAUGAAUCUUUCCUCUCUGCAGUCUCGGGACUGGGCCUUUUCCAAGAGGACACAGAAGAGGAGAGAAUGGCAGCUGUGCCCCUAGCAGCCAGAUGGCAGUUGAAGAGAGGCAAAGAGCCAUGGAAACUUGAUCAUCAGGAAGCUGAGGAGAGAGAAGUCCCAGGAAGCACUUCUCUAGGAAUGCGUGAGCUGGGCAGAUGGGGCUUUGCUGGACAGUUCACUUAGAGACCACUCCUUAGGAUCGCAUAGACCUAUGAGAUGGCCACUGCCACACUGGCCUUUGCCUGGAAAACUCGUACCAUGUAUAGCCACAUGGCCUUCUUGUCACCUUUUUCAAGUUUUUGCUCAAAUGUGCCACCUUCUCAGUCAGGCCUGGCCUGAUGACCCUAUGUAAAAUUGAACCCUCUCCAUCCCUUUGUCCCUCCCAGCCCCUGCACCACCCGCUCUCUUCCCGACUCUGUCUUCCUAACAUACUAUAGUUUUACUUCUUCAUUUUGUUGGUUGUCUGUCCACACCUACCCUCUGUUAAAGUAUAAACUCCAUCAGAGACUUUUUCUGUUGUUUGCUACUGUAUCCCCAGUACUUCAAACAGUACCUGGUACAGAGCACACACUCAGGUAUUUGUCAGAUGAAUGAAUAAGUGGAGUGUGCAUAGCAAGGCCCGCCCCCGUUGGGUUUUUUGCAGGGAGGGUUGAGAUCUAUCAUUAUUUCAACUCUGAUAUCACUUACUUAUCUUUUCUGCAUAUCCUUUACCGUAUCUCCUCCUCUUCCUUUAAAUUACCAUUCAGUGGCCAUUGACAGUUCACUUUCUCAGGUGCUAGCCUGUCUCCCCACUUUUUCUCUGCUGUUUAUACUCAUCGAGUAACAAACUGCCCAGUCAUUUCCCCGCUUCAUUGUGUAUCUCCUAUUUUUAUGCACGUAUCUCUCUCUGAAAUGCUCUUCUUUUGGCUGUGUACUUGGUUAACAACUUUCAGAUCUCAGCUUAAAUGUCACUUCUAGAUGACCGUUCUUAAGGGUCCCUCUAAAGAAGUCCCCACUCCAACUCUCAUUCAUCAUUUCCUUUGCUGUACUUAUCACCAUCUGUUAUAUUUUGUUUAUUUAUUCUUUGUCUUCUGUCUAGUAGAAUAUAAGCAUAACAAGGGUGGGGACCAUGUCUGUCUUGUUCAUUAGGGUCCCAAUGACUUUUACCAUGCCUCCUUACCACUAGGCAGGCCCCUAGUAAAUAUCUCAUGAAUGAAUAACUGAAACUUGUUCAGUGGGCUAGAUGCCCACCUUCCACUUCUGGUCUCUAUUCCUCUUUUUUCCUCUGCCAUUUUUCAGCCUCUCCGUAAUGUUUUUUCUCUGAGGAGCUACCAAUAAACCCAGCAGUAUUUUGCAUUUGUUCUUUUCUUAAUAUAUAUACAAUGUUUUCCUUUUCACUAGCACUCAAACCCAGUUAUAUCUGUGUUUUCUGUUUGUUUUAUACCAGAAGGCUAGACUUAAGAGCCAGGACUCAACUGAAAAGCAGGAUGUUUCUAAAAAAGUAAAGUCAUUACUGAAAAUACAAGACAUGAAUGAAAAACCUCAGAAAAGAUGGUCCUCUGGGUCCUGUACUUGGCCCAGAAAACCCUGAGGGCACAAAGAAAGAAAAUGCUUCAGGGGAGACUUUGAAGAAAUCGUCCCCCAAGGAGAAGGACUCAGGCAAGGAUACACUCUUGCCAAACAAACUGACAAUAAGGAGAUACAGUUGGAAGGCAGUGUAUGUGGGAAGACCUUAUAUAACCAUUUACCCCUCACUUGCCAUCAGAGGACCCACACUGAAGAGAAGCCCUACGACUAUAAAGAAUGCGGGAAAGCCUUCAGCUAUAGGAGUAGUCUUAAGAAACAUUUGAUGUCUCACACUGGCAAGAGCACCUCUGAAGGCAGCGAAUGUCAGGAAACUUUCCAUGACCAAUUAACCCUUAUUGAACAUCAGCGAAGUCAUACCAGAGGGAAGCCUUUUGAAUGUAAUGAAUGUGACAAGGCUUUCUUUGUCCACUUGUGCUUUACUCCACAUCAGAGAAUUCAUACUGGAGAAAGACCUUGUGAGUGUACAGAAUGUGGGAAAUCCUUUAGCCAGAAAAGCAAUCUCAGUCACCACAUGCUCACUCACCCUGGAGAGUGGCCCUGUGGGUGCAAGGCAUGUGACAAAGCUCUGCUUGACCACUCCUCCCUCGUUCACCACAGGAAAGCGCACACUAGAAAGACCCCUUUUGAAUGUAAUGAGUGUGGGAAAGUUUUCUUUGACCCCUCAUCCCUUAAUAAACAUCAGAAAAUUCAUAGUGGAGACAAGCCCUAUAAAGGCACUGAAUGUGGGAAAGCCUUCCUCCAGAAAAGACAACUUAUUCAACAUGAAAGAGUGCACACUGGAGAGAAAUCCUGCAAGUGCAGCAUGUGUGGGAAAGUGCUCAGUUGAAAGUCAUCUAUCAUCUGACAUCAGCGACAUUAUGCAGACAGGCUUCAGAGUAUCACGAAGGUGCUUCAGCUGGACAAGGGACCCCCGUAGUGACUUUGAAACCAGAGGCCAACUUGCUUUAACUAUACUCAGUUAGUUGUCUGUUUGCAAAAGUAGUUAGAUAAUGCAUUGCUAAAACCUGCCCUAUAAAUAACGUCUCUGAUGCCUGGGUCACCGUAAUAACAGGUGCUUGAGUUUUUCAGGAUCUGAAAGUCGACUCCUUGUCCAGUUCAGGCUGGUUAAGACAACCAACUCAUCAACUGGACCUGCACAGAUGACCAAUAGGUGACACUGUGACAUCAAGGAGCUGAAAACUCCACCCUCAGAUCAUGGUAAUGCUGCCAUUUUGUGAAUAUGUGUCCUAUGAAGAGCCAUGAAGCUUGACUAGACUUGCACGGAUCAUCAAUUACCUCACUUCUCCUUCCCUCCAAUCAUCUUUUCCCACUUCAGACCAUCCUGCCUGCCCCCUUAUCCCAUAAAUAUCCCUCGUCCCCAUUUUGGGGGGGAGGUAGAUUUGCCCACCUCCUUGCUUGGCUGCCUUGUGAUUAAAUCCUUUCUCUUUGCAGACUCGUCAUCUCAAUGAUUGGCAUAAUUGUGUGCCAGGAAAAACAAACCUGGUUCAGUAACUUCAAGAUAAUGAAGAUUUAUCUUUGAGCGCCUUCUAACUACUGUUAAUUCUCAUGCCUCCAUUUGGUACCAGAGUCUCAAUAAAUAGUCUCAGUAGAUCACACCAUGGACUUCCCCUGGGGUACUUGAAAUUUAAGAUAAUAGUCUGAGGAGCCCCAAAUUGGUCAGAUCAGAAGCUUUCCAAUCAACAUGCUUUGAUAUCUGAGUCUAUUCUGAGCAGCAGAGUGCCCAACUCUAUUUCUCAGCCUCUCUUGCAGUGAGGUAUGGCUAAUCAGGCCAAUGAAAUACUGAUAUAUCAAAUAUCAGGCCAACAGUAUAUUGAUAUAUCAAAUAUCAGGCCACUGAUAUAUUGAUAUAAUUGGAAUUUGUGGGGAAGGACUUCUGGGAAGGCAACUUAAUAAAAGAGAGAGGGACGCUAGGAAAUUCCCUUUUCCCUUCCCUUCUUUCCACCUGGAAUGUGGAUUUAAUGGCUGGAAUUCCAUAAAGCAUCUUGUGACUUUGAGGGUAUAAGCAAGGCCUAAAGGAUGGGAGAGGAGAAGAACAGAAGACACUUGGUUCCCUGAUGAUCUUCUGGAGCCUCCACACCAGCACUGGCUGCCUAUUUCUAUUCUUGAAUGAGAGAGAAAGACUCUUAUGUUUUCAACCACUGUAUUCAUAUCCAAAGGGAAUUCCUGUUAAACUUUCCAAAGAAAUACAUAGAGUCAAUAUAAAAGGAACUAACUCUUCUACCCAGAGAAAAUACUGCCUCAAACCAGGACCAGAGGAGAGGCAAGCAGUACCUCAUUGUGAGGCUGGCAUGACUUCAGAAGUGUAAUAGACCACAUCUGUUAUGAUCAGCUCUGGAGUAUUCAUGCCUCCAUGGUUGUACCUAAUUGUGGCAGAGUAAUGGAGACAGAGAAAGAGGUCUUCCCUGUCCCUUUAGCCCAGCAUAAUUCUUUGCAAAUCCUUUAUGAGGAUCUGGUAGCCUGACCCUAGAGUCCUUUGAAUAUCCUUUUGCAUGGCUGGUUUUCUUCAGGCCAACUUCUCUGCCACUCUUACUAAAAACAUAUCCAUUUACCUAUAGACAACUAUCUUCCUAAAGUACACAGAGAAUGAAUUAUAAAUUAUAUAUAUAUACUUACACUAUUUGAAGUUGGUUAACUUGUUGCCAAGAGUCAGUUCAAUAUGUAGCUCUUGACUGUUAUUAAGCCUGUUUGUGGAGAGG
rnacentral:lncRNA from 1 species